UUGGGUUGGAAGGAACCUUGAAGAUCAUCUAAUUCCAACAAUUCUGUGAUUUACUUGGCUACGGUGACAGCUGAAAGCUAAGUAGGUAUGGUGGACAGGAAGAUCAGCCAAGAGUUUCAUUUGUGGGGUGUGUUCAGGUUCAAGCAAGAAGUGCCUGAGCUGCUGUUUGAGCUUAGAGGUUGAAGAGCGAAGGAAGAACUGAAAUUUACCCAUGCCAGCUUCAUGUGAAAUGUGGGGCACGCUGCAGAGCUGCCUCCAGGGAACCGCUCUCCCAGUGUGAAAAAUCUGUUACAUGGAUUACAUAGUUGAAGUCCAAUGUUUGCUUUUGAGCAAGAAUAGAAAAACUGAGGUCACUGAGGGUGCAGUGAAGUGCCCAGAUCACUGGACCCAGUUUUGUAACAGCAAACCUUGUAAUCGAUCCUGGCAGAAUGGAAGGAUGAGCCCAGAAGAUCAGAGCAAACACA
rnacentral:lncRNA from 1 species